rnacentral:rRNA from 1 species
AGAGUUUGAUCCUGGCUCAGGACGAACGCUGGCGGCGUGCUUAACACAUGCAAGUCGAACGGAAAGGCCCUUCGGGGUACUCGAGUGGCGAACGGGUGAGUAACACGUGGGUGAUCUGCCCUGCACUUUGGGAUAAGCCUGGGAAACUGGGUCUAAUACCGAAUAUGACCAUGCGCCUCCUGGUGUGUGGUGGAAAGCUUUUGCGGUGUGGGAUGGGCCCGCGGCCUAUCAGCUUGUUGGUGGGGCAAUGGCCUACCAAGGCGACGACGGGUAGCCGGCCUGAGAGGGUGACCGGCCACACUGGGACUGAGAUACGGCCCAGACUCCUACGGGAGGCAGCAGUGGGGAAUAUUGCACAAUGGGCGCAAGCCUGAUGCAGCGACGCUGCGUGAGGGAUGACGGCCUUCGGGUUGUAAACCUCUUUCAGCACAGACGAAGCGCAAGUGACGGUAUGUGCAGAAGAAGGACCGGCCAACUACGUGCCAGCAGCCGCGGUAAUACGUAGGGUCCGAGCGUUGUCCGGAAUUACUGGGCGUAAGGAGCUCGUAGGUGGUUUGUCGCGUUGUUCGUGAAAACUCACAGCUUAACUGUGGGCGUGCGGGCGAUACGGGCAGACUUGAGUACUGCAGGGGAGACUGGAAUUCCUGGUGUAGCGGUGGAAUGCGCAGAUAUCAGGAGGAACACCGGUGGCGAAGGCGGGUCUCUGGGCAGUAACUGACGCUGAGGAGCGAAAGCGUGGGGAGCGAACAGAAUUAGAUACCCUGGUAGUCC